AUGAAUAAAUGCAAGGAAGUAAAUGAAGAGGAAGCAGGGGUCAGAAGGGGCAUGUUUUACAUGAAGAGAUACCAUGCAAAGGCCCUCCUGGGUACCAUCACCAGUGCGGGGCAGCCCGUGAGCCCCUGGAGGGAGGUCUCCCUGACACCCUGCCCACUCCUCCUGGGGCCAAGCAGGAGUCAUAUCCAAGGGCUGGGUCAUUAUCUGAUACAUGAGUGGGUUGUGCGGAUGAGUAAACAGGGACUGACCCAGAGGUCAGGUGUAACUCAGCCUCAGAAACUGCAUGUGUCAAUAGGAAUCGAAGGGCCAAGGAAUGUGUUUUUCGUUGAUGUCAACUUGCUGCAAAGGACCACACCUGCUUCUCGACCCGGGAACGUGGGAAAGGGAAAGGCACGGCUUGUUUUGGUGGAGAUGGAGGAGCUGGUAACAGUGGAGGAAUGCCCUUCUUCUGAUUCACAGCGGGGAGGUGCUCUGGGCCCCUGCCACUGCCCGAGGACUUCGGGUGAGGUUACCAGGACCGUCAGCCUGAGGAGAAUCAGCUCUUCCGCACCAAAUCCUGAAGAUCACAUGGCAGAGUGAGCCAGAGCGAGGUACCGGCAGACCUCUUAGGUGGGGCAUGCAUCCCCUAGUGUCCCAUGUCCCCACUGUUCCCUGUGGCUAUAUCCAUUUCACUUGACUUACUUUUACUCCUUGUCUAGCUCCUUGUGGCAUUGUUCUUUUUCUCUUUUCUUUUUUUUUUUUUGAGACAGUCUCCCACUGUCACCCAGGUUGGAGUACAGUGGAGUAAUCUCGGCUCACUGCAACCUCCACCUCCUGGGUUCAAGAGAUUCUCCUGCCUCAGUCUCCUGAGUAGCUGGGAUUAUAGUUGCCCGCCGCUACGCCCGGAUAAUUUUUGUAUUUUUAGUAGAGACAGGGUUUCACCAUGUUGGCCAGGCUGGUCUUGAACUCCUGACCUCAGGUGAUCCACCCACCUCAGUCUCCCAAAGUGUUGGGAUUACAGGCGUGAGCCACCACGCCUGGCUGGCAUUGAGUUUUCAACUCUUCAUCUAUACCAUAUGUCAGAUCAUUUCCUUCUUCUUGCAAUGACAGCAAAAAUACCGAGGCUUUAAUUACUUACCCUCCUGUAUUUCUGUUUUAUUCCCUCUCCCUAUCGCCAUUUCCAUGCACUCAUGCCCACGCACAGGUUGUAGGAACCAACUAGUAUGUUGCUGGGAGGUCCAGACACUCAAAUGUGAACUUGCUUCUCUCCCUGGAGGGCUUCCAGAUUUAGCAAAUAAACAGGCAAGAUGCUCAGCUAAAUUUGAAUUGAAUUUCAUAUAAAUAGUGAAUACUUUUUCUUUUCUUUUUUUUUUUUUUUUGAGACAGGGUCUUGCUCCAUUGUCCAGCUAGAGUGCAGUGGCAAGAUGAUGGCUCACUACAGCCUCCAUCUCUUGGGCUUAAGAGCCCUCCCCCAUGGCUCAGCCUGCCCUGAGGCCAGUCCUCGUACAUGGUGCAUGGCUGCCUUCAAGACAUCUCCAAGGAGCCCUCGCUGAGAAGCCCCCUGGUGCACACAUAAAAUCACGUUGCUAUUUAGUUGAAUUUCUUCAUUGUACAGGUUAAGAAAUGGAAGAUGUGACUCUCAAGGAUUAUACACAACUAAAACUGUGUGAAACGGCGAUCAGUACCCGGGCAACAGGGAAGUGGGAAUUUCUCACCAACCCACGUGCCAGGAUCCAGCCUCAACGCUUGUGAGGAUCCAGCCUCAAUGCUCUGCACAUCUCCAGUGUGGAACAGCACCAUGCGCCUAAUGAGUUCUUCUCUGACUGAUUGAUUGAUUGAUUACUAAAACACUCAGCACUCCUGGCAAAGCAGUUCUCACACUGUUGAACAAAUUAUCUUUAUGCACUGCAGUCUCUUGAGCUUAGAUGAAGGCAAACUCACUGUAAUCUUCAGAUCAUUUAGCAAUGCCUUGGAAUCACUGGAUAUGAGAAAAUAUCCAGGCAUGUGGAAUAUGAAGGGGGAAGAAAAGCAGGACUUGGAGGGACUGUGCUAGUGGAUUUCAACUCUGUAUUUUCUAAAAUGAACCAGGGGCAGGCAAACUACUACCUUGUAGGCCAAAUCUGGCCAGUGACCUGUUUUAUCAUUGAUUGAUUGAUUGACGGGGUCUUGUCUUGCUCUGUCACCCAGGCUGGAGUGCAUUGGUUCGAUCAUUGUUCACUGCAGCCUCGAACUCUUGGACUCAAACCAUCCUCCCACCUCAGCCUCCCAAGUAGCUAGGACUGCAGGUGUGCACUGUAAUGCCUGGCUAAUUUUUUUCUUUCUUUUUUUUUUUUUUUUUUGUAGAAAUGGCAUCUUGCUGUGUUACCCAGACUGGUCUUUAACUCCUGGCCCCAAGCGAUCCCUGACUUUAUGGCACUUGCUUAGCCUGGUGUGACAGUGUCUGUCUCCUGGAGGCCAGGAGCCCCUGGCAUGCAGCCAGCGUGCCCCAUUUAUAAUUGUAGCCCAGCACAUGGAAGGGACCCAAGGGAAUGACAGCAACGUUGACUUUGCCAUUUCAACCCUCAACCUCAUUUUAUUGUUCUAUUCGUAUUAUCUGGGGGACAAAAUUUUCCCACAUUCUUUUCUGUUGGUGCCACCAUCUCUGUGCCUCCGUGUGCUGCUGACCCGCCAAGCCCAUGGCCAGCUCAGCACUCGGAUUUUAUGUGGUCUCUCAGUAUGGAUUCCUUUAUCGGCAUCUCAAAAAGCUUUUGUGUUUUAUCCAUAAUUGAUUAAAGGUUUGUAGCUGUGAAUAAAAGAUUGAUUAAAAGUAACAACAGCAAAACAGCUCUUGUUUUUCUUCACCGUCUGCCUUUCCCCAGAAGAGUCUCCUACAUCCGAGCAGACGGUCCUCGAUGUGGAUCCACACAACCUUACGAGUUUUCCUUAGACCCAAG
rnacentral:lncRNA from 10 species